UACGAAGGGGGCUAGCGUUGUUCGGAAUUACUGGGCGUAAAGCGCACGUAGGCGGGGCGUUAAGGCAGGGGUGAAAUCCCGGAGCUCAACUCCGGAACUGCCUUUGAUACUGGCGAUCUAGAGAUCGAGAGAGGUGAGUGGAAUUCCGAGUGUAGAGGUGAAAUUCGUAGAUAUUCGGAAGAACACCAGUGGCGAAGGCGGCUCACUGGAUCGAUACUGACGCUGAGGUGCGAAAGCGUGGGGAGCAAACAGG
rnacentral:rRNA from 1 species